rnacentral:rRNA from 1 species
GGGGAAUAUUGCGCAAUGGACGAAAGUCUGACGCAGCGACGCCGCGUGAGGGACGAAGGUCUUCGGAUCGUAAACCUCUGUCAGAGGGGAAGAAGUGCAGGUACUCUAAUAUAGUGCCUGUUUGACGGUACCCUCAAAGGAAGCACCGGCUAACUCCGUGCCAGCAGCCGCGGUAAUACGGAGGGUGCGAGCGUUAAUCGGAAUUACUGGGCGUAAAGCGCGCGUAGGCGGCUUUGUAAGUCAGGGGUGAAAUCCCACGGCUCAACCGUGGCAUUGCCUUUGAUACUGCAGGGCUUGAGUUCGGGAGAGGGUGGUGGAAUUCCAGGUGUAGGGGUGAAAUCCGUAGAGAUCUGGAGGAACAUCAGUGGCGAAGGCGACCACCUGGCCCGAUACUGACGCUGAGGUGCGAAAGCGUGGGUAGCAAAC